UUGGAGGGAUUAACAAAGGGGAGGGUCUGGCAAGCCAGAACUCAUCUUCUCCUGUCUGCUUGUGCCCCUAGGGCUGCUAAUGGAUGUCUGAGAGGGGAGAGGGGUCCAGAAAUUUGCCCAAAGGCCAUUCUGAGGAUCGGUUGGCAGAAAAGUGGUCAAAACACACAAGCCACAGACUGCUGCAUCCUGUCCCAUAAGAAAGAAAGGAUCCCUGCUCAUCCCUACGGAACAACAGCUUUUUCCAUUCUGAGGGCUGCUAAUGGAUGUCUGAGAGGGGAGAGGGGUCCAGAAAUUUGCCCAAAGGCCAUUCUGAGGAUCGGUUGGCAGAAAAGUGGUCACAACACACAAGCCACAGACUGCUGCAUCCAGUCCCAUAAGAAAGAAAAGAUCCCUGCUCAUCCCUACAGAACAAGGGCUUUCCUUUCUGAGGUGAGACAGACCCUGUAGGAUGGGGGACACCUGUGGCUCUGGAGGAAGGUCCAGGGAGACCCUUGGCCUAUGGGAGGCUUUAGUCAGAAUUAGCUGGAUGGCAGCUGGACCAUCAAAAAGCAUUGGAGUGGUAGUGCUUUUGUCACUGAGGUAGAAGGCUGUUUGACUUGGUGAAGUGAGUUGCAGGGGGAUGUAGGAGAGGAGUCUGAAGGGGCUUCUAUGAUGGAAAAUGGAAGAGAUCUCAGAGGUCAUCUUCUCCAACCUAAUCUUUUGACAGAAAGGGCUAAGUGAAGUGAAGAAGAGGUGGGAGGAGUUUGGUCUAGGUUACACAGCCAGGAAGGGAAGGGGCAAAAGGAGGUCCUCAGUCCAGGAUCCGGUCUGCCAAGCUAGCUGACUUACAUUUUGGCAGCUACCUCUUCUGAGAGCCAAGCGUCUUGCACUCAGGUUGCCUCAGCAUGAGGUGGAGGAAUUUGCCAUAGAGCCAGGACUUCUGUGAGUCUUCAGUCAUGGGAGAGAAGAAGAGGGUUUGGAUCAGCUUCUGGAGAAGUGACCUUCCCUGAAUUUCUUUCAGUUAGGAAAACAGGGAUUUGCACAUCCCACUCCUAUUUUCUGGAACCUCCUUGAACAUUUCCCUGGGAUUUAGAGGUUAAAGCUUAGGCAAGGUCCACCUUGCUGAUCUCAGAGAAUUCCUGCUCUGGAGUCUCAUCUUGUUGAAGGAGUACUUGGGCAAUAGGAAUAGCAUAGAGAUGGGUAAGAAUGAUACCAUGCAGCAAAUGG
rnacentral:lncRNA from 1 species